rnacentral:rRNA from 1 species
UACAGAGGGUGCUAGCGUUGUUCGGAAUUAUUGGGCGUAAAGAGCGCGUAGGCGGUCUGCUAAGUCUGGUGUGAAAGCCCUCGGCUUAACCGGGGAAGUGCAUUGGAUACUGGCAGGCUUGAGUGUGAGAGAGGAUCGUGGAAUUCCUGGUGUAGCGGUGAAAUGCGUAGAUAUCAGGAGGAACACCGGUGGCGAAGGCGGCGAUCUGGAUCAUAACUGACGCUGAGGCGCGAAAGCGUGGGUAGCAAACAGG